AGACUGAAUUGAAAGGAGGACUUGGCUGUUCAAACUAAAUGGCUGUAGGAGGACUCAGUUGCUAUUCUAAAUAUAUGAAACUGUGGCUGGGUCCAAACAGACACUACAUCUUUGAGAUGAGAGUUGUCAGACAAGGAUCAUAAUAAUUCACUACCACUGAACUCUAGUGAAAAGCACAGCAUUGCUGGGGCCAACCAACCAAAGAAAUCUCCCUUUACAGCAACUGGC
rnacentral:lncRNA from 11 species